rfam:Oryctolagus cuniculus unplaced genomic scaffold chrTn0056, whole genome shotgun sequence.
UAGGAAAGACAGGGCCAGGAGCCCCCCUGAGCCCAGGGUAACUCUUGACAUAGGGGGGCA